UUUUCACAUUAAUAAGUAACAAAAUUUUAUGGAAUACACAAAUGCCUAGUUAUCAUUAUGAAAAUCAAAUAUCUAGUUAGCUUGGUGACUGAAAACCCAAACUCAAAUACACAAAAGCAUUAUGAAAAUUAAGUACUCAAACUGAAAUAUACAUAUUGAGUGAGAAUGGUUGCCAAGAGUUGAGAGAAGACUUAUUUUUGGGUUUGGUAGUUGUACUUUUGAUAAUCUUGUGUGAAUGAGAAGAAAAUGGAGAGAAAUUUGGUGUCAUUGAAAUUUUGGUGGAGAGAAAUUUGAGUCAGAUUAUAGCUACACUAAAGAGUUUUUAGAGAUUUGUAAAAUUACAU
rnacentral:misc_RNA from 1 species